UCUAGCGCCAGCUUAGCUCUCCGUUUCGGCCAAACUAUUUUCUCAGCUGCUUUGUUGAUCUUCAUGUGUUUCGAUUAAGAUUUCUAUGAUUUCACCACCUUCUGCUAUUUGGCGACUGUGAUGGCAAUUGUAACUCCAUGGAGCAUCUUAAUUACUUGCCUUGACCGACACAUACUCUUGUCUUAGUGAAACUCCUCCCUCAAGAAUUACGACCUCUUUUUCCAUCGUUUUCGCAGGUACUCUCAGCUCGUUUCUCUCUUUGGGUGUGGCCUGUGCUGUAGCUAGUGAAAGUGAACUGCUUUAGUCUGCCGAUGGACAAGCCUGUGAUGGCAACCUCUGCAGCCAAUACCAAGUCGUGGCCGCAUUGGCUCUCUCGUGUUGGUUUCUGUUACUUGCUUCAGUUUUUGCAGUUUACCUUCUUCAUGCUAUAUAUAUUGACAUUAACAGACUUAUGACUUCUUCUUACAAUUAUAGAUAGGAAUCAUAAUCAUUAGGACAUGGAUGUACACUCUAUAUACAACCCUAGACAUGUC